AGCCCCGUGGUGUAGUGGCCAAUCAUAGCGGCCUUUGGAGCCGUUGACGGCAGUUCGAAUCUGCCCGGGGCUA
rnacentral:tRNA from 1 species